UACGUAGGGGGCAAGCGUUGUCCGGAUUUAUUGGGCGUAAAGAGCGUGUAGGCGGCCAUACAGGUCCGUUGUGAAAACUCGAGGCUCAACCUCGAGACGUCGAUGGAAACCGUAUGGCUAGAGUCCGGAAGAGGAGAGUGGAAUUCCUGGUGUAGCGGUGAAAUGCGCAGAUAUCAGGAAGAACACCCGUGGCGAAGGCGGAUCUCUGGGCCGAUACUGACGCUGAGGAGCGAAAGCGUGGGGAGCGAACAGG
rnacentral:rRNA from 1 species